AGGAACAUUUUUCUCUAAGGGUUCAUGGUCAUCCGUUCAACCCUGAGCUUGCGCAACGCGGAAUUAUCCGGCGGCGCCGGAAUUCUUCAAAAUCUCAGUUUUAAUUGUCAACGCAUGCUUCGUAACUAUGAAUGUAGCAUAUUGUGAAACGAAAAACACGACGCCAAACGUCAACGCAAGCUGGAAACAUCACAACAAACCUGUGCUAAAAAAGUGUUCUUCAUCGUGAAAUUCGAAAGUACCGUGAAUUAACAAAAUAAAAGAAACUUCCGUUCCCGCUGGAGCUUGGCCAUUGGCAAUUGGCCACGGCGUUGACCGAGAACAGGCCGCAUCAUUGGUGCAACUUAUUUCGUACUGAACUUUGAUGCUUGUGAAGAUGAUUACGAUCAUAGAACCAAUUCUGAUGGCUGAGGGCUCACCCGCCUCAUCUUCCAGUCACACAACUUCCGCCGGCUGCAGGAGAUUGUGACGGCUUGCCCCACCGGAACGUCACGUUUGACACCGAAGCGGUUUCUGGAGACUUCCACCGUUGGACGAUUGCCGAUUGCGAGCUGGCAAGAGAUUAGACCUGGAAGUUGAAACUGUCCCGCCCGUGAACACCCUCUAUGGAAUUGUCGCUCGGCGUCAUGUAUUGACAUGAAGUGCCUUUCGGGCAUGGCCUGGAAGAAGGUGCCCAAAAUUGCGACCCUGAAUAAGAUUUUGUGAUUGAUAUUGGGAGUCGUGACAAAUGAUCUAAAUAAAAAUAAAAA